ensembl:lncRNA
UUGUUUUUCUUACAUCAUUUCUGCUCUUUUUGCAGUCGUCUCAAAAACGUUCUGUUUCUGCCAUUGUUCCUUAACUAUUUGCUUUCCUAUCUCAGAUGGCCUUAUGAAUGGAAACCCAUAGGAAAUGAAUAUUUGUGUUUAUUAAUGCUUCAACUUCUGCUAGCUAAGAGCUCUGGGAAGUACAGCAGUAUGGGCAAAACCAGUAAGAGUUGUGUUUUGGAAUGCUGUGUGUGUGAGUGCUGUGGCUGCUGUCUGCUCCAAGGCAGCAUUAGGAGUCAAGUAGGUGUUCAGAGCUGACAGUUAAUUUGAGUGAAAAUAGAUGCAAGAAGUGCCUGUUGGCAGCUGUGGGAUGUCUUAACUGGAAAGUAUAGCAAGUGUGGAUGUUUGUAAAGGAAGGUGGGUCCUCACCUGGGCAGAAUCAGGUUCUGAAAUACAGGAAGGCUGAAUUAGCAUGUGCAGCUAUGUGGAACUGCAUUCCAAUGCGUGGCCUCACUCACAGUGACCAAGCAAACCGAGCUCCUGUGUAUGCUGGGCUUGUUUUACUGUGCCUGAACCUAAUGCACUCCGAAGUUCAGGAUAAAUGAUUAUACAAAGGGGAAGAGAAAUGACUGGAGUGUUUGUAUUCUAUUUGUGCUCAGUAGCAUGUCUGUGAGCUUUAAAAAACAAAGCAAAAUGAAGUUUCAGACGAUGCAUUUCUGCCUUACUGAAGGUAAGGUCUGGUGUGUGGGGAAGUCAAAAGGGGUUCUAGUAUGAUAUUUACUACCUUGGGUGAAUACUUGAAGAGGAUUUUUAUUCAUCUACAAUGAAGGCAGUGGCUCAGCAACUAAUAGCUUUCACAAAUGCCAACAAAGCCUUUUCCCCUUGAUCUCAUCUUCAGCUCAUUCCAGCCUUCCUCUGCCUUCUGUGGAUACUUGUCUUUCUCUUCAUCUCUGACUGCAAAGGAAGCCUGAGUGCGACUUACACCUAGGAGUAGGAAAUGAAUUGAAGCAAAGCGAGGUGCUGCUUGGAUAAUACAUGCAUUUCUGCAAAGGGCUUCUAUCACAAAUCCAUCUUAGAAUCGUAGGGUAUCAUGAAUGACUGUGUGAACUCAAGGGGAAGAGGAAAGGCAAGAAAGGAGGUACAGAAGGAUUUGAAUUAAUUGGGCAUCCUACUCAGAACCUCAAACAGCAAUGAAAGGCCUGCACUACUGAACAGGCAAAGAUAAUCUGAGUAUAACUGCAGUCCUAUGGAAUCGUGGUGCUCCAGAGGGGCUGUGAGUGGGGUCCUGCCGUCCUCUUGCAUUGCUGCCUGCUCUCCCCAGCCUGUUGUUUGCUCAGACCAAACCUGAGGUCAGGAAAACAUGCUGCUGUUGUGAUGUAAAUGCUGGGCAAGCGGUCAAACGAGGGAGGCAGAUCCAACCACCUGCUGGCUAUUGUGGCCCCCUGGUCUUUUUAUUUCACUGUUGGGAUUGCAGGCAAUGCCCUGUAGUAGCGGAGCAGAAGCUGGAUGUUGGGCUGGUGAUACGGAUGGGAAGAACCAGUUUGGGGUUAACCCAGCCCUGCCUUGUGCUGUAGAGCAUUGCUUCUUUUGGCAUAGUAAUAAUCAUACCUGCUGCUUAAUUUGUUCACUAAUAAGGAUGGGUACAAGUCUUAUCCUUUUAGGAUAGCGAACACUAAAUGUGUAUUUGGUCAGCAUUAAGUGUCACAUUGUGUUUUAUCCGUAUUUAUUCUUGUUUCAAGGUAAGUAGAUGUGACUCAGCUGUUAACGUGGCCGUAGAAUGGAACUGUUGCCUAAUAUGCAUAGUCAGAUAGUCCAAAACCAACAACAGAAUGCUCUGUGUAGAUGACUGUAUGGGGAACGUAACUGAUGUUGAAGUGCUUUUAACUCGUUGCCCAACAAACACGUGUUGUGGCAGCACUUUGUUAGCAUAUCCACUGCUGUUUCCAGGAUCUUAUCUUCUGUUCCUGGCUCUGGAAUUCUGCAUCUCUGGAUUUCUAGAAGCCAGACUUGUUGGUCUUCCACGAAUUUAGUAAAUAUAUAUCACCAAACAGGCUUCAUUUUGUGUUAUCCCUGGGGACUCUCCAUGGAGUACAGCGUAAGUUUUGCUUGCUGUAGUUGGUUUUAACAAGUUGGAGUAAUUGAGGAUAAGGUAAAAUCCUUAGCGUGUACCAGCUUGGACCAGGAGGUAUUUGAGUGCUGUGAAGUUUGGAUGGAAGAAAGGCUUCUCAGUCUGUCUCAUUCAUAUAAAAUAAGAUUUAAAAGAUGGGUUCCUCGGAUUUUUGCUCUGAAACUUCUCUUUAGCAGUGCACCAUGACUUGUGUAUGCGUUUGCUCAGCACAAGAAACUUUCUGCUUUGUAAUGCCACUAUUAGAAACUGCAGAGGUAGCGAUAGGUAGCAGUAAUACCGCUUUCUACAACUUUGCCAUUCCUCUGAUGCUGAUGUUUGACACGCAGUAGGUGCAACAGCUCUGGGAACUGAGGAGCACCUGGUGUAGCGCCCAGCUGCAAGCAUGGCGAGGGAACUAAGUGAGGGAGCAGUCUGAGUGCUGGUGCAUGCUGAGGUUUCUCCAGGCGUGUCUGGUGGGCCAAAGAGGCGCUGAUCAGCUCCGGGGCUCCUCAGCAGGCUGUGACAUCCUCUCAAGAAUGUUCUGCUGAUGAUAAAGUGAUUUUUUUUUUUUACCUUGCAUUUCACUGGGGAGGUGUGCUGUCAGUCAUUACCUUGCUGGGCAGGUUUAAUGGGGUGGAGGUUCUGGGAGAACUGGUGGGACUGGAACUAAGUCAUACUCCUUCAGUAUUAAAAUUGAGCCAGGCUUCUAAAUUAAAAGUGGUUAUUUGCCUAAUUUCCCUUCAGAUGCUCUAAUAUACCUGGGGAAUUACCAAGGCUAAUUGUCUGCUGCGUUGCUGUUGGUUGGCUCAGAUGCAGACCUCAGAGUGGGAGGAGAGCAAAGGAAGACCUAUGGGUGGGAAUUUGGGGACGUAGUGAACUUUGGAGCCUUUUAAUCCCUUCCUCCUAAAAUAAAUGAAUGACUGUAAUAUUUUCUUUGAGCACAGUUUCUUGUGUCUGCUAUCUGUUCUUUGGGCUGUCUGCCUUGUCCAGAGACUUCUAAAUCUUCUGUAGACCUAACAUACUAUUUAGGAAAAUGUGCACCAUUGUGCGUGCAUUUGGGCACAGUAGUUGUGGUGGUAUGAACUGCCCAUGCUGGUACAAAUGGAACAGAAUUCCUGUUGUAACACAUCU